GAACACCUUCUUGCCCUUUAGAUCGGCAGGAGAGAGGUCUCCAACGCUCCUCUUGGCCAUAGACACAACGCCUGUGAUUGGUCUGGCGGAGGUUUUGAGGGAUUGGAGCUUGGAGGCUACAUGUGCAGAGAAAAGGGGAUCAGCGGCGGCGAAUCCAAGGCCACGAAGUGGGGAACGCAGAAAGCGAGAAGGCAGGCGAACAGUGGGGCUGAUACGGGAGGUAGUGGAAGACGAAGAAGUUGUGGGGAGGAGUGAGAGAGUGGUGGGUGAUGCUGCAGAAGCC
rnacentral:lncRNA from 1 species